rnacentral:rRNA from 1 species
AUUGAACGCUGGCGGCAGGCCUAACACAUGCAAGUCGAGCGGAUGAAGGGAGCUUGCUCCUGGAUUCAGCGGCGGACGGGUGAGUAAUGCCUAGGAAUCUGCCUGGUAGUGGGGGAUAACGUCCGGAAACGGGCGCUAAUACCGCAUACGUCCUGAGGGAGAAAGUGGGGGAUCUUCGGACCUCACGCUAUCAGAUGAGCCUAGGUCGGAUUAGCUAGUUGGUGGGGUAAAGGCCUACCAAGGCGACGAUCCGUAACUGGUCUGAGAGGAUGAUCAGUCACACUGGAGCGGGGACACGGACCAGACGCCUGCGGGAGGCAGCAGUGGGGAAUAUUAGACAAUGGGCGAAAGCCUGAUCCAGCCAUGCCGCGUGUGUGAAGAAGGUCUUCGGAUUGUAAAGCACUUUAAGUUGGGGGGAAGGGCAGUAAGUUAAUACCUUGCUGUAUUGACGUUACCAACAGAAUAAGCACCGGCUAACUUCGUG